UCUAUAAUUGAUUCUGAAGCC
rnacentral:miRNA from 1 species